rnacentral:lncRNA from 1 species
GAAACAAAUGUAAAUACUCAGACACGGCUACAGUGGUAAUUCUCUGCAAAACUUGUUUGGACGUUGGAAAGUUAAUAAAGACUCGUUUUCUUUGUAAAAGGAUUAAACCGUCCACAUGUAUAUUUAAUACAGAAAACCAUAGCGCUGUGCACACUGCACAUCCUCGCCCAGGAGCUUUUAUGUUGUUUGACAGUGUGUGGUUGCACAUGGACUUUUUAUUCAAAGACCCAAGUAUAAAGAACUUGACAGGUUUACUCCGACACUUUGUAUUUGUAUGUUGUUAUGUAAGGAUAAUUUUAAAUGACUACAUAAAACUCUCUGAUACUUUCUAGCCUAAACGUGUGCAGGCAUACAAAGAAUUCUAAGUGUUUUGAGCUUAUGCCGAGAUAAGGAUGAAACCUAUUUUCUUUCAGAGGAUAGAAA